ensembl:lncRNA
UUUGUCUUGGGUUCAGAUGAAGCGUAUGUUUGUCAGUUUUGUCUUGCUGUGUGUACACAACAGCACGACUUUGAUCUCUUAUGUUUUCAGUGCUCCACCCACUCAGCACCCUCAGGCAAUGUGAGGAACUCUCAGAGGUGGAUGAACCCCUCCUCGAACCACAGCUGUGGGGUGUUAAAGUGUGAAACGGCUUUCGAGUGGUACUUCUCAACUUCUGAGACAUCCAUAUCCAGGGUUUUUGAGGAAAACAUUCCAGAAUUUUUCUCCAUAUAGAGGACUUCAAUGGGGAUCAACGGGUUGAAGGUCCAAACUGCAGUUUCAGUGCAGCUUCAAAGGGCUCUACAUCAUCCCAGUCAAGGGUCUUAUCUAGUGAAAUGAUAAUUUCUAAAAAACAUGAAAAUCUUUUUUUGGAAUGGUCAUUGGAUUUAGUCUAUGCACAUUCACUUUGUAAACACUGGGUCGGUACUUCCACCUACCUCACAAGUGACCUUUCCAACAUGACUACGUAAUACGGGAAGUUGUUGAUGUGCAUUGCAUAGCUAGUGCAAGACAAGCAUUUGUCGUUAAAAAGCAUAUAUAUAUAUAUAUAAAAGAAAGAAAGACAUGAACAUCUUGGAUGACAUGGGGGGUUUGGAACGACAUGAUAGUGAGUAAAUGAUGACAGAAUUUUCAUGUUGGGGCGCUUUGUGUUUUCCAUAGUCAGUUGAACAGUCUGAAUAGGAUGGCGCUUCUUUCUUCUCUGCUUUCUUUCAGUAUAACCUUAAAGAAACUGUUCAAAGGGGCCCCAGCCUUUCCUCACCUGCACUAGGGGCCGCACCUCCAGGUCUGGUCUAUCAUAGAGAACCAGCAUCCAUUAGAGCAAGAGUUGGAUUAACCCCUCUAAAGCACACAUGGUGCGGUCAUAAACCCCUUCUCUUUACGCUGUUUACACUAACAAUAUCCAGCAGUGUGCGCAUGUGGGUGUUUAGUGCAUUAUAAAA